rnacentral:rRNA from 1 species
GAUGAACGCUGGCGGCGUGCCUAAUACAUGCAAGUCGAGCGAACGGACGAGAAGCUUUCUUCUCUGAUGUUAGCGGCGGACGGGUGAGUAACACGUGGAUAACCUACCUAUAAGACUGGGAUAACUUCGGGAAACCGGAGCCAAUACCGGAUAAUAUUUUGAACCGCAUGGAUCAAAAGUGGAAGACGGCCUUGCUGUCACUUAUAGAUGGAUCCGCGCUGCAUUAGCUAGUUGGUAAGGUAACGGCUUACCAAGGCAACGAUGCAUAGCCGACCUGAGAGGGUGAUCAGCCACACUGGAACUGAGACACGGUCCAGACUCCUACGGGAGGCAGCAGUAGGGAAUAUUGCGCAAUGGGCGAAAGCCUGACGGAGCAACGCCGCGUGAGUGAUGAAGGUCUUCGGAUCGUAAAACUCUGUUAUUAGGGAAGAACAUAUGUGUAAGAAACUGUGCACAUCUUGACGGUACCUAAUCAGAAAGCAACGGCUAACUACGUG